CAGCUUUCCAUAUUGGAAAGUGGCGCCUUUCAUCCGCCAAUGAGGUGGUGAGGGCGGCGUGUGUGUAUCAUGACGUCACGCCAGCGGUCACGGCCCACGGGACAAGCACUCAGCUGUCAGGAAGCAGCAGGUGUCAUGGAAGGGCCCUGGUGGUGGACUGGUGGUUGAGGUUGAUAUGCCCAGCGUGAAAAGUGUGUGACUGGCUGAGUUUUGGUGCCUUGGGGUGGGCGUGGGAUGUCUGGCGGGCGUGGUGACAGGAGUGAUCCUUGGCACACAUCGUUUCACCGAAUUUAUCCCACGCUGCUGGACUUUGAGGAAUGUUGCAUGUGUAGCAAGGAAUGGACGUCAGCUGCUGGCUGAGGCUGCUGGACCACUUGUCACCACUCCCUUCCCUUUACUUUGACGCUCAGUUGGUGGCCCAAAGGAGGAAGAUGGAAGCAUGGACAGUUAACCAUCGUCAACUGUCGUAUAGAAGGAAAGUCAAGCCAAGCCAAGCCAAGCCACAACACAACACAAGCCUUCUACAAGACCUACAGCCAUCAGCAACACCCAGAGUACAAGACAAUACCUGAGCCAUGAAGAAGAGUUAGGAUAGAUUAGCAGUUUGUCAUGUUUUUUUUUUUUUUUUUUUUUUUUUUUUUUUU
rnacentral:misc_RNA from 1 species